GCUUGGCCCUAAAUCUUGAUGCUUACCCUACCAAAGCAUCCGCCCGAGAACUACGAGCACAAACGCUUAAAACUCUAAGGACUUGGCGGUGCCCCAAACCCACCUAGAGGAGCCUGUUCUAUAAUCGACAACCCACGAUACACCCGACCACUUCUUGCCAAAAACAGCCUACAUACCGCCGUCGCCAGCUCACCUCCCCUGAGAGCACAGCAGUGAGCAUAAUCGCCCUAACCUCGCUAACAAGACAGGUCAAGGUAUAGCUUAUGAAGUGGAAGAAAUGGGCUACAUUUUCUAACCUAGAAAACCACUAUACUCUCAACGAAAGGGAGUGUGAAACAACUCCCAGAAGGCGGAUUUAGCAGUAAAGCGGGAUAAUAAAGCCCCCUUUAAACUGGCUCUGAGGCAC
rnacentral:rRNA from 1 species